rnacentral:ncRNA from 2 species
AGGAUAGGGACAACGCUCGGUUUCAACGGGGUUCAGCCGUUGGAGUAAAUGGGGAAAGUCUGGUGAAAAUCCGGCGCUGUCCCGCAACUGUGAUGAGACAAUGGGUCUCUAAGUCAGGAUGCCCGCCGAUCGCUAACCUGUUGU